GAUGAACGCUAGCUACAGGCUUAACACAUGCAAGUCGAGGGGCAUCAUGGCGGUCGCUUGCGACCGCUGAUGGCGACCGGCGCACGGGUGCGUAACGCGUAUCGAACCUGCCGCAUACCCGGGGAUAGCCUUGCGAAAGCAAGAUUAAUACCCGAUGUUCUCACUGUUCCGCAUGUUACGGUGAGCAAAGAAUUUCGGUAUGCGAUGGCGAUGCGUCCCAUUAGCUAGUUGGCGGGGUAACGGCCCACCAAGGCUCCGAUGGGUAGGGGUUCUGAGAGGAAGGUCCCCCACACUGGAACUGAGACACGGUCCAGACUCCUACGGGAGGCAGCAGUGAGGAAUAUUGGUCAAUGGACGCAAGUCUGAACCAGCCAAGUAGCGUGCAGGAUGACGGCCCUCCGGGUUGUAAACUGCUUUUAGUUGGGAAUAAAAGGGGGCUCGUGAGCCCCGUAUUGUAUGUACCAUCAG
rnacentral:rRNA from 1 species